rnacentral:tRNA from 1 species
GCACCCGUAGUUCAAUGGAUAGAAUUGUGGUUUCCGGUACCAUCGAUAGGGGUUCGAAUCCCUUCGGGUGCACUA